ensembl:lncRNA
GCUGGGGGCGGGGGAGGGAGGGAGGGCAGGAGAAGACAUUUCGAUCCCCUGCAGCCCUGUCUGGGCGCCAUAACAACAGGACUACAUUUCCCAUAGCCCUUUGCCCCCCAGGGUCUGGGUGAGCUCAGCCAGUGGAGGCCCCGGUGAAAGAGUGGAUGGCCAGAUGAGGGAGAGGCUAGUGGGGCUAACAUACGAGUUGGCCGACUGAGUUGUGGGUUGCACACGCCCCGUGUGGUGGGCCUCGUCUGACUAGCACCAAACGCCCAGCCUCCUCUGAGCAAGGCAGCCUUCCCCAGCAGCUGGGCUUCAGACACCAUCUGCAGCAUCCACUCUCCCUGGUUCUACAGCAGAUCGUUUGCAGAAGCUUAGUGAACAUCGGGCCUUCUGGUCUCCAGCUUGGAAACUUUGUAUUUGCCAGCCUCUGUAAUCGUAGUGCUGGGAGCUGAGGAUGCACUGAAGUGUUCUCUUUCCCUCUGCACUGGCCCCUGGCCAGUCCACUGGAAGGAGAGGGCCCACAGGCACGUGCUUGGGGUGGGUGAGACCACAGUCAGACAGCUGCGCACACGCCGUGCCUCCCUGUCUCUAAGCACCAGGGUCUGGGAGGAGGGAUCAGGCAGAGGAAACAUGUCUGCCUGGUGGCAGUGAUUAUAAUCCAGCCCACGUGGCAAGAGCAAGAUGCUGGUCCUUCAUCUGGAACCUCUGUGGGAUCUCUGGGGACCCAAAUGUGCAGUGUCUGCCGGGCCUCUUGUGACCUCCCAGCCAGCCCUCCUCAUCUCUUGCUCCCGAUUCUCCACCCCACAGACUCUAACUCCUGGGGGGUCGUCUCCCCGGCUGACUGCCUGCAGGAGCGGCGUCCCCUCAGGAUGGCUCCAGCCCUCCCCCCACUGCCUUCUUCAGUUUACCUCGGUCCACAGGGGAGGAGUCAUCCCUGCUGUAUUAGGCAGGGGCCCGGCAGAGCUGCUGUAACAGUGAGCCCCAAAAUGCAACAGCACACCCUGGAUAGAAGGCCAUCACUCUUCUGGCAGCCCCGGAGUUUGAGGGUGGUUGAAGUCCAUGCCGUGGGGCUCCCCAGGGAGCUGGGUUCAUUCCUUUGCGUUGCCCAUCCACACCAAGGGAUUCACUUCCUUUUCAAGGGUGUAGCUGCCAUUUGCCUGCAUCUCUUGUUUGCGCAUCCUAAUGACCACAGCCCAGUCCACCACAGGGUGUCCACCACAGCACACCCGCCCCAGGGAGAGCUGGGGACUGACCCUGCUCAGCUGGGCCUCCGGCGUCCUGGCAGUAAGGACGAUGGGAGCAGUGACCUGACCCUGUGGGAAAAUCCAGAGUCUCUGCAGCACUCACCAUGCCUAAGGGCAUCCACGCAGGUUGCCCCACUGUCCCCCUCUUCAUUCUGCCCUGGGGGAUGCUGCAGCCAGUCUCCAGCCGCCUGGAUUCACAGGAGGGAAGCAGACCCAGUGACUCAUCUCCACCACGGGGGC